UUUCUAGCCCAUGACAGACUGACGUAUCUAAAAAUCAUAGAUUAGGUAAAGAAUGUGUGCAAAUUAAAAUCCAUGCACAGAAACCUACGUGAGAAGAAGGAGCGUUGUCAUCGCAGACGUUUAACCGGGCCUGGUUGAAGAUGGCUGAGCGUAAAACAGAAUGCAAGUCAGCUGGAGCACGUACUACUGGAGGCAGAGCCCCAUAAGAAGGGGCCAAGAACCCGCACCCACCAAAAUCAAGAAGAAAGGCUGAACCCGGAGAGAAAAGGGAGCAACUGAUGUUGCCAUGCAGAUCCCUUGGUUGCUAUGAGAUGGUAACAUCACUCUGCCCCACCAUUGGCCAGUGCCUCCUCAGCUGCGGUGCCUCCCAGGCUGUGUGGUUCUCACGCGGGCCACUGACACAGAGCUGUUACUAUGGUGAACUUUACAAUUUCCUUUGAUUGGUGGAUUUCAGAAAUAGGCCAUCAGCGGAAUUCAUUAUAUUCAGCUAAGUAAAAA
rnacentral:antisense_RNA from 1 species